rnacentral:lncRNA from 1 species
GCAGAGAAGACAUAAGAGUCGAGAAGAGGCCUUGGUAGCCAUUAGAAGAGAGUCCGGUGUGUGCUGAGGGUAUACAGCAGUUAAAGCAGAUACUGCAGAGCACCGACAAGGGAUUGGGGGCAGAACAGAGCAUCAGGCAAAGCAGCAAUGGUGAGGCAUGAUGUAGCAGCUUCCACAGGAAGCGUCCAAGGGCGUCAAGGAUCC